rnacentral:rRNA from 1 species
GACAGGGGGGACAAGUGUUAGUUACCGUGACUGGGUGUAAAGGGCUCGUAGGCGGUUUGUCGCGUCGGGAGUGAAAUCCACUGGCUUAACUGGUGGCUUGCUUUCGAUACGGGCAGACUGGAGGUAUGCAGGGGAGAACGGAAUUCCUGGUGUAGCGGUGAAAUGCGCAGAUAUCAGGAGGAACACCGGUGGCGAAGGCGGCUUUCUGGACAGUAACUGACGCUGAGGAGCGAAAGCCAGGGGAGCAAACGGG